rnacentral:tRNA from 1 species
GGGGUUGUGGCUCAGUGAUAGAGCACUUGCUGGCAUGUGUGAGGCACUGGGUUCAAUUCUCAGCACCUCA